rnacentral:rRNA from 1 species
CCUACGGGAGGCAGCAGUGGGGAAUAUUGGGCAAUGGGCGCAAGCCUGACCCAGCAACGCCGCGCGAAGGAAGAAGGCUUUCGGGUGGUAAACUUCUUUUCUGAGGGACGAAGAAAGUGACGGUACCUCAGGAAUAAGCCACGGCUAACUACGUGCCAGCAGCCGCGGUAAUACGUAGGUGGCAAGCGUUAUCCGGAUUUAUGGGGUGUAAAGGGCGUGUAGGCGGGAAAGCAAGUCAGAUGUGAAAGCUCAGGGCUCAACCCUGUGCCUGCAUGUGAAACUGGUUUUCUUGAGUGCUGGAGGGGCAAUCGGAAUUCCGUGUGUAGCGGUGAAAUGCGUAGAUAUACGGAGGAACACCAGUGGCGAAGGCGGAUUGCUGGACAGUAACUGACGCUGAGGCGCGAAAGCGUGGGGAGCAAACAGGAUUAGAUACCCUUGUAGUC